rnacentral:rRNA from 1 species
GACGAACGCUGGCGGCGUGCCUAAUACAUGCAAGUAGAACGCACAGUUUAUACCGUAGCUUGCUCCACCAUAGACUGUGAGUUGCGAACGGGUGAGUAACGCGUAGGUAACCUGCCUGGUAGCGGGGGAUAACUAUUGGAAACGAUAGCUAAUACCGCAUAAUAUUAAUUAUUGCAUGAUAAUUAAUUGAAAGGUGCAAUUGCACCACUACCAGAUGGACCUGCGUUGUAUUAGCUAGUAGGGGAGGUAACGGCUCACCUAGGCGACGAUACAUAGCCGACCUGAGAGGGUGAUCGGCCACACUGGGACUGAGACACGGCCCAGACUCCUACGGGAGGCAGCAGUAGGGAAUCUUCGGCAAUGGACGAAAGUCUGACCGAGCAACGCCGCGGGAGUGAAGAAGGGUUUCGGAUCGUAAAGCUCUGUUGUAAGAGAAGAACGGGUGUGAGAGUGGAAAGUUCACACUGUGACGGUAUCUUACCAGAAAGGGACGGCUAACUACGUG